rnacentral:tRNA from 1 species
UCCCUGGCGGUCCAGUGAUUAGGACUCAGUACUUUCACUGCUAUGGCCUAGGUUCAAUCCCCGGUCAGGGAA